rnacentral:rRNA from 2 species
UAGGGAAUCUUCCGCAAUGGACGAAAGUCUGACGGAGCAACGCCGCGUGAGUGAUGAAGGUUUUCGGAUCGUAAAACUCUGUUAUUAGGGAAGAACAAAUGUGUAAGUAACUGUGCACAUCUUGACGGUACCUAAUCAGAAAGCCACGGCUAACUACGUGCCAGCAGCCGCGGUAAUACGUAGGUGGCAAGCGUUAUCCGGAAUUAUUGGGCGUAAAGCGCGCGUAGGCGGUUUCUUAAGUCUGAUGUGAAAGCCCACGGCUCAACCGUGGAGGGUCAUUGGAAACUGGGAAACUUGAGUACAGAAGAGGAAAGUGGAAUUCCAUGUGUAGCGGUGAAAUGCGCAGAGAUAUGGAGGAACACCAGUGGCGAAGGCGACUUUCUGGUCUGUAACUGACGCUGAUGUGCGAAAGCGUGGGGAUCAAACAGG